AAUAUUGGACAAUGGGGGCAACCCUGAUCCAGCCAUGCCGCGUGGGUGAAGAAGGUCUUCGGAUUGUAAAGCACUUUAAGUUGGGAGGAAGGGCUUUAGGCUAAUACCCUGAAGUUUUGACGUUACCAACAGAAUAAGCACCGGCUAACUCUGUGCCAGCAGCCGCGGUAAUACAGAGGGUGCAAUCGUUAAUCGGAAUUACUGGGCGUAAAGGGGGGGUAGGUGGUUAAGUAAAAUGGGUGUGAAAUCCCCGGGCUUAACCUGGGAACGGUUUUCAUAACUGUUGAGCUAGAGUAGGGUGGGGGGUAGGGGAAUUUCCUGUGUAGGGGGGAAAUGGGUAGAUAAAGGAAGGAACCCCAGUGGCGAAGGCGACUACCUGGACUGAUACUGAACUUGGGGUCCGAAAGCGUGGGGGGCAAAAA
rnacentral:rRNA from 1 species